rnacentral:rRNA from 1 species
ACAUGCAAGUCGAGGGGCAGCGGGAUUGAAGCUUGCUUCAAUUGCCGGCGACCGGCGCACGGGUGAGUAACGCGUAUCCAACCUUCCGUACACUCAGGGAUAGCCUUUCGAAAGAAAGAUUAAUACCUGAUGGUAUGAUGAGAUUGCAUGAUAGCAUCAUUAAAGAUUCAUCGGUGUACGAUGGGGAUGCGUUCCAUUAGGUAGUAGGCGGGGUAACGGCCCACCUAGCCUACGAUGGAUAGGGGUUCUGAGAGGAAGGUCCCCCACAUUGGAACCGAGACACGGUCCAAACUCCUACGGGAGGCAGCAGUGAGGAAUAUUGGUCAAUGGACGAGAGUCUGAACCAGCCAAGUAGCGUGAAGGAUGAAGGUCCUACGGAUUGUAAACUUCUUUUAUAAGGGAAUAAAACCUCCCACGUGUGGGAGCUUGUAUGUACCUUAUGAAUAAGCAUCGGCUAACUCCGUGCCAGCAGCCGCGGUAAUACGGAGGAUGCGAGCGUUAUCCGGAUUUAUUGGGUUUAAAGGGAGCGCAGACGGGUCGUUAAGUCAGCUGUGAAAGUUUGGGGCUCAACCUUAAAAUUGCAGUUGAUACUGGCGUCCUUGAGUGCGGUUGAGGUGUGCGGAAUUCGUGGUGUAGCGGUGAAAUGCUUAGAUAUCACGAAGAACUCCGAUUGCGAAGGCAGCACACUAAGCCGUAACUGACGUUCAUGCUCGAAAGUGUGGGUAUCAAACAGGAUUAGAUACCCUGGUAGUCCACACGGUAAACGAUGGAUACUCGCUGUUGGCGAUAUACUGUCAGCGGCUUAGCGAAAGCGUUAAGUAUCCCACCUGGGGAGUACGCCGGCACGGUGAAACUCAGAGGAAUUGACGGGGGCCCGCACAAGCGGAGGAACAUGUGGUUUAAUU